rnacentral:sRNA from 1 species
UGAUCAAGUCAUACUGUGCCGGGCAAUGC